CACCCAUAUCAUGCUGAAAACACCGGUUCUCGUCCGAUCACCGAAGUUAAGCAUCAUCGGGCUCGCUCAGUACUUGGGAGGGUGCCG